rnacentral:rRNA from 1 species
GACGUAGGGAGCGAGCGUUGUCCGGAUUCAUUGGGCGUAAAGGGUCCGUAGGCGGCUCAGCAAGUCGGGUGUGAAAUCUCCAGGCUCAACCUGGAGGGGCCACUCGAUACUGCUGUGGCUUGAGUCCAGUAGGGGAGCAUGGAAUUCCCGGUGUAGCGGUGAAAUGCGCAGAUAAUCGGGAGGAACACCAGUGGCGAAGGCGGGUCUCUGGACAGUUCCUGACGCUGAGGCACGAAGGCCAGGGGAGCAAACGGG